rnacentral:tRNA from 2 species
UCCCGCUUAGCUCAGUGGUAGAGCGCAUCACUAGUACCCCUGGUGCAUGAUGAGGUCAGUCGUUCAAGUCGGCUAGUGGGAA